rfam:Sphingopyxis witflariensis strain DSM 14551 NODE_5_length_289865_cov_33.6037, whole genome shotgun sequence.
AUUGCGGGCCGGGCCCCUCUGACGAUCGCAUCGAUCGUGAUGUCGGACCGCAUCG